GGCGUGAAUCAGCGUGGACCAAAUCACGUAAGGCUAAAUACUGUUGUUGACCGAUAGUGAAGAGUACCGUGAGGGAAAGGUGAAAAGAACCCUGAGCAAGGGAGUGAAAUAGAAUUUGAAACCGUGUGCUUACAAACGGUAGGAGCACUUUAUGUGUGACUGCGUGGAUUUUGGUUAAUCAUCCUGCGAGUUAUGAUCAGUGGCAAGGUUAAUAAAGUGGAGCCGAAGGGAAACCGAGUCUUAAUAGGGCGUUAAGUCGCUGGUCAUAGACGCGAAACCUAGUGAUCUAGGCCUGUCCAGGCUGAAGCUGAGGUAAGACUCAGUGGAGGGCCGAACUCACCGCCGUUGAAAAGUUGGGAGAUGAGAUAGGUCUAGGGGUGAAAAGCCAAUCGAACUAGGAGAUAGCUCGUUCUCUCCGAAAUGCAUUUAGGUGCAGCCUUGAACUGAGAUAUGUGGGGGUAGAGCUCUGUAUGAUCUAGGGGGCGUACUGCUUACCGAAAUCAAGCAAACUUCGAAUACCAUAUAUUAUGUUCAGGAGUGAGUCCGUGGAUGACAAGGUCCUCGGACGAGAGGGGAACAGCCCAGACCGCCAGCUAAGGUCCCUAAUUAUGUCUAAGUGGGAAAGGAGGUGGAUAUUCACAGACAACCAGGAGGUUGGCUUAGAAGCAGCCAUGCCUUGAAAGAGUGCGUAAUAGCUCACUGGUCGAGAGUGCCUGCGCCGAAGAUGUAACGGGGCUAAGACAUAAACCGAAGCUGUGGAAGAUACACUGUAUCUUGGUAGGAGAGCGUUCUGUAGGCCGUCGAAGGGAUGCCGCAAGGCCAUCCUGGAGGUAUCAGAAGCGAGAAUGCAGGAAUGAGUAGCGAGAAGGCGGGCGAGAAUCCCGCCGGCCGGAAGUCCAAGGUUUCCAGGGGAAGGCUUGUCCGCCCUGGGGAAGUCGGGACCUAAGCAUAAGCAAAAUUGUGAUGGCGAAUGGAAAACAGGUUAAUAUUCCUGUACCACUAUUAUCGCUUGAGAGACGGAGUGACGCAGGAAGGUAUGUGAGAAGGCUGACGGUUUAGCCUUUCUAAGGGCCCAGCGUGGGCGUGCAGGUAAAUCCGCACGCCUAAACGUGAGACCUGACGGGGAAGUGCUUGUGCAUAAGUCACAGAUCCUACACUGCCAGGAAAAACUUCUAUCGAUGAGAAGCAGCGCCCGUACUGUAAACCGACACAGGUGGACAGAGUGAGAAACUUAAGGCCGACAGGAUAACUCUAGCUAAGGAACUCUGCAAAAUAGCCCCGUAACUUCGGGAGAAGGGGUGCCUGAUAUACCUGAAGAGAGAAACACUCCUAGGGAAAACAGGCCGCAGUGAAGAGUCUCAAGCAACUGUUUACCAAAAACACAGGUCUAUGCUAAGCUGAAAGGCGACGUAUAUGGGCUGACACCUGCCCAGUGCCGGAAGGUUAAGAGGAGGAGUGAGAGCUCCGAUUUGAAGCCCCGGUGAACGGCGGCCGUAACUAUAACGGUCCUAAGGUAGCGAAAUUCCUUGUCGGGUAAG
rnacentral:rRNA from 1 species